rnacentral:rRNA from 1 species
UACAGAAGCCCCGAGCGUUACCCGGAUUCACUGGGCGUAAAGGGUGCGUAGGCGGUUAUAUUAGUCAGGUGUUAAAUCUUCUCGGCUCAACCGGAAGGCUGCAUUUGAAACGGUAUAACUAGAAGAAAUGAGAGGUGUACGGAACUCACGGUGUAGGGGUGAAAUCCGUUGAUAUCGUGGGGAACACCAAAUGCGAAGGCAGUACACUGGCAUUUUCUUGACGCUGAGGCACGAAAGCGUGGGUAGCGAAUGGG